rnacentral:misc_RNA from 1 species
GAUGAAGAACGUAGCGAAAUGCGAUAAGUAAUGCGAAUUGCAGAAUUUCCGUGAGUCAUCGAAUCUUUGAACGCACAUUGCACCCCUUGGUAAUCCUUGGGGUAUACCUGUUCGAGCGCCGUUUGUGUCUAAGGCAUUGCCUUGCGUUGAUGAUGCCCCGAGAGGGGCUCGUCCAAACACAUCGGCGCCCGUCUCGACUCCGAACGCAACGAAAUGCGGGAAUGGUGUUUGACGGGCGGCCAGUUUCCGAAAGCAUGGCCUCGGAUCAGGUAGGGAUACCCGCUGAACUUAAGCAUAUCAAUAAGCGGAGGA